rnacentral:lncRNA from 1 species
UUGAGGUUUAACACCUAACCCUUAAUUCCUGGAUCUGAGUUUGGAAAUCCAUAAUUUUCAGCUACCUGCUUCCAGAGUCAUUGGUGGAAGAAUCAUUGAGAAACCCCAUGCUGAGUAGGACAGUGAGUCUCCUGAGAACCCUUCACAUACAGUGUUUUGGAAGCCUUUGAAAGGUGAAGAAUGGGUGCUUUCUGAAACAGAAGCUUUUACUUAAACAUCAUAGAUUUGCCUUGAAUAUUGACUGCAUGGUGCUCUGCUUAGACCUCUGCAUCCUGCUUGUACAAAAUUUCUACAGGUUCUGUGAGGAAUUCAUUCAAGCCUAA